CCUACGGGUGGCAGCAGUGAGGAAUAUUGGUCAAUGGACGAGAGCCUGAACCAGCCAAGUAGCGUGAAGGAUGACUGCCCUAUGGGUUGUAAACUUCUUUUAUAUGGGAAUAAAAUGCUUUACGUGUGGGACUUUGCAUGUACCAUAUGAAUAAGGAUCGGCUAAUUCCGUGCCAGCAGCCGCGGUAAUACGGAGGUUCCGAGCGUUAUCCGGAUUUAUUGGGUUUAAAGGGAGCGUAGGUGGAUUGUUAAGCCAGUUGUGAAAGUUUGGGGCUCAACCGUGGAAUUGCAGUGGAAACUGGCAGGCUUGAGUACAGGAGAGGUAGGCGGAAUUCGUGGUGUAGCGGUGAAAUGCUUAGAUAUGACGAAGAACUCCGAUUGCGAAGGCAGCUCACUGGACUGCAACUGACGCUGAGGCUCGAAAGUGUGGGUAUCAAACAGGAUUAGAUACCCCUGUAGUC
rnacentral:rRNA from 1 species